GCCCCGGUAGCUCAGCACGGCAGAGCGGCUCUCUCGUAGCUCACUGAAAGCAGGAAAGGAGAAGGUCGGGGGUUCGAAUCCCUCCCGGGGCU
rnacentral:tRNA from 1 species